rnacentral:rRNA from 1 species
GUCGUAACAAGGUUUCCGUAGGUGAACCUGCGGAAGGAUCAUUAUCGUACAAAAUGUGUGAGGCGUGCGAGGGCUGUCGCUGACUUUUAAUGCAAAAGUCGUGCACGCCGGAGCAUGUCCUCUCACAUAAAAUCCAUCUCACCCUUUUGUGCACCACCGCGUGGGCACCCUCCGGGAUCAAACCAAUCCAGGAGGGGGCUUGCGUUUUCACACAAACCCCCCUUUUUAAAAGUGUAGAAUGACCUCAUUUUUGCGAUAACACGCAAUCAAUACAACUUUCAACAACGGAUCUCUUGGCUCUCGCAUCGAUGAAGAACGCAGCGAAAUGCGAUACGUAAUGUGAAUUGCAGAAUUCAGUGAAUCAUCGAAUCUUUGAACGCACCUUGCGCCCCUUGGUAUUCCGAGGGGCACACCCGUUUGAGUGUCGUGAAAACCUCAACCUUCUCGGUUUCUUCUGGAUGCCGAAGGAGGCUUGGACUUUGGAGGCCCCUUGCUGGCGUCUCUCUCUUUUGAGAGCCAGCUCCUCUUAAACGAAUUAGCGGGGUCCUCUUUGCCGAUCCUCGACAUGUGAUAAGAUGUUUCCAUGUCUUGGUUUCUGGCUCUGUCACUUUUGGGACCCGCUUCUAACCGUCUCGAGACGACGUUUGGGCGUGUCUCCCUUCUCGGGAAACACUCUCGACCACACGAACCCUUGACCUCAAAUCGGGUGAGACUACCCGCUGAAA